UACGUAGGGGGCAAGCGUUAUCCGGAUUUAUUGGGUUUAAAGGGUGCGUAGGCGGGAUGCCAAGUCAGCGGUAAAAAUGCGGUGCUCAACGCCGUCGAGCCGUUGAAACUGGCGUUCUUGAGUGGGCGAGAAGUAUGCGGAAUGCGUGGUGUAGCGGUGAAAUGCAUAGAUAUCGCGCAGAACUCCGAUUGCGAAGGCAGCAUACCGGCGCCCUACUGACGCUGAGGCACGAAAGCGUGGGUAUCGAACAGG
rnacentral:rRNA from 1 species